rnacentral:rRNA from 1 species
GGUUAAGCGACUAAGCGUACACGGUGGAUGCCCUGGCAGUCAGAGGCGAUGAAGGACGUGCUAAUCUGCGAUAAGCGUCGGUAAGGUGAUAUGAACCGUUAUAACCGGCGAUUUCCGAAUGGGGAAACCCAGUGUGAUUCGUCACACUAUCAUUAACUGAAUCCAUAGGUUAAUGAGGCGAACCGGGGGAACUGAAACAUCUAAGUACCCCGAGGAAAAGAAAUCAACCGAGAUUCCCCCAGUAGCGGCGAGCGAACGGGGAGCAGCCCAGAGCCUGAAUCAGUGUGUGUGUUAGUGGAAGCGUCUGGAAAGGCGCGCGAUACAGGGUGACAGCCCCGUACACAAAAAUGCACAUGCUGUGAGCUCGAUGAGUAGGGCGGGACACGUGGUAUCCUGUCUGAAUAUGGGGGGACCAUCCUCCAAGGCUAAAUACUCCUGACUGACCGAUAGUGAACCAGUACCGUGAGGGAAAGGCGAAAAGAACCCCGGCGAGGGGAGUGAAAAAGAACCUGAAACCGUGUACGUACAAGCAGUGGGAGCACAGAGCAAUCUGUGUGACUGCGUACCUUUUGUAUAAUGGGUCAGCGACUUAUAUUCUGUAGCAAGGUUAACCGAAUAGGGGAGCCGAAGGGAAACCGAGUCUUAACUGGGCGUUAAGUUGCAGGGUAUAGACCCGAAACCCGGUGAUCUAGCCAUGGGCAGGUUGAAGGUUGGGUAACACUAACUGGAGGACCGAACCGACUAAUGUUGAAAAAUUAGCGGAUGACUUGUGGCUGGGGGUGAAAGGCCAAUCAAACCGGGAGAUAGCUGGUUCUCCCCGAAAGCUAUUUAGGUAGCGCCUCGUGAAUUCAUCUCCGGGGGUAGAGCACUGUUUCGGCAAGGGGGUCAUCCCGACUUACCAACCCGAUGCAAACUGCGAAUACCGGAGAAUGUUAUCACGGGAGACACACGGCGGGUGCUAACGUCCGUCGUGAAGAGGGAAACAACCCAGACCGCCAGCUAAGGUCCCAAAGUCAUGGUUAAGUGGGAAACGAUGUGGGAAGGCCCAGACAGCCAGGAUGUUGGCUUAGAAGCAGCCAUCAUUUAAAGAAAGCGUAAUAGCUCACUGGUCGAGUCGGCCUGCGCGGAAGAUGUAACGGGGCUAAACCAUGCACCGAAGCUGCGGCAGCGACGCUUAUGCGUUGUUGGGUAGGGGAGCGUUCUGUAAGCCUGUGAAGGUGUACUGUGAGGUAUGCUGGAGGUAUCAGAAGUGCGAAUGCUGACAUAAGUAACGAUAAAGCGGGUGAAAAGCCCGCUCGCCGGAAGACCAAGGGUUCCUGUCCAACGUUAAUCGGGGCAGGGUGAGUCGACCCCUAAGGCGAGGCCGAAAGGCGUAGUCGAUGGGAAACAGGUUAAUAUUCCUGUACUUGGUGUUACUGCGAAGGGGGGACGGAGAAGGCUAUGUUGGCCGGGCGACGGUUGUCCCGGUUUAAGCGUGUAGGCUGGUUUUCCAGGCAAAUCCGGAAAAUCAAGGCUGAGGCGUGAUGACGAGGCACUACGGUGCUGAAGCAACAAAUGCCCUGCUUCCAGGAAAAGCCUCUAAGCAUCAGGUAACAUCAAAUCGUACCCCAAACCGACACAGGUGGUCAGGUAGAGAAUACCAAGGCGCUUGAGAGAACUCGGGUGAAGGAACUAGGCAAAAUGGUGCCGUAACUUCGGGAGAAGGCACGCUGAUAUGUAGGUGAAGUCCCUCGCGGAUGGAGCUGAAAUCAGUCGAAGAUACCAGCUGGCUGCAACUGUUUAUUAAAAACACAGCACUGUGCAAACACGAAAGUGGACGUAUACGGUGUGACGCCUGCCCGGUGCCGGAAGGU